GACGAACGCUGGCGGCGUGCUUAACACAUGCAAGUCGAACGGAAAGGCCCUGCGUUUGUGGGGUGCUCGAGUGGCGAACGGGUGAGUAACACGUGAGUAACCUGCCCUUGACUUUGGGAUAACUUCAGGAAACUGGGGCUAAUACCGGAUAGGAGCUCCUGCUGCAGGGUGGGGGUUGGAAAGUUUCGGCGGUUGGGGAUGGACUCGCGGCUUAUCAGCUUGUUGGUGGGGUAGUGGCUUACCAAGGCUUUGACGGGUAGCCGGCCUGAGAGGGUGACCGGCCACAUUGGGACUGAGAUACGGCCCAGACUCCUACGGGAGUCAGCAGUGGGGAAUAUUGCACAAUGGGCGGAAGCCUGAUGCAGCAACGCCGCGUGCGGGAUGACGGCCUUCGGGUUGUAAACCGCUUUCGCCUGUGACGAAGCGUGAGUGACGGUAAUGGGUAAAGAAGCACCGGCUAACUACGUG
rnacentral:rRNA from 1 species